GGGGGAAUCUUGCGCAAUGGGGGAAACCCUGACGCAGCAACGCCGCGUGCGGGACGAAGGCUCUCGGGUCGUAAACCGCUUUCAGGAGGGAAGAAAAUGACGGUACCUCCAGAAGAAGCCCCGGCCCACUACGUGCCAGCAGCCGCGGUAACACGUAGGGGGCGAGCGUUGUCCGGAUUUAUUGGGCGUAAAGAGCUCGUAGGCGGCUUGGUAAGUCGGGUGUGAAACCUCCAGGCUCAACCUGGAGACGCCACUCGAUACUGCCAUGGCUAGAGUCCGGUAGGGGAGCGUGGAAUUCCUGGUGUAGCGGUGAAAUGCGCAGAUAUCAGGAGGAACACCAGCGGCGAAGGCGGCGCUCUGGGCCGGAACUGACGCUGAGGAGCGAAAGCGUGGGGAGCGAA
rnacentral:rRNA from 1 species